rnacentral:misc_RNA from 1 species
AAGAGACGUUGCCUUCGGGGUAUACCUCCACCCUUUGUUUAUUAUACCUUGUUGCUUUGGCGGGCCCGUCCUCGGACCACCGGCUUCUGCUGGUCAGUGCCCGCCAGAGGACCUAAAACUCUGUUUGUUAAUAUUGUCUGAGUACUAUAUAAUAGUUA